rnacentral:lncRNA from 1 species
CAGCAAAGAAGGAGAGGAAGAAGCGGGGAGAGACCAACAAUGACCUGUUUCUGGCAGAUGUGUUUUCCUACCAGGGAAGCUCCAUGAGGCUGCCAAACUGUACAAGAGGAGUGGGCACGAGAACCUUGCACAUGAAAUGUGUUGGAAGAAAAGCUGAGUGUUGGGAGAGAAGCUGAGGCAGGGCUUGCAUGUUUGCUAGACUUGCUGCUCCUUGCUUCUAGCAUUCCCAUGUUCUCAAGUAGCCAUAUGUUUCUCAUUCACUUGAUACACCGUUUCCUUUCAACCCCCACAUCCUCACCACCUGUUUGUUGCAGCCUCCACACUUGUGAUAGCCCCCUGGUCCCAUUUUGUCUCUCAAACUGUCUUUCUCAUUCCUUGGACUCCACUGGACUUCGUCGCCCCCAUGACCUGCUGUUGGGUCUGAUCACCCCAAAAGAAAUGAGGUUUGAGUAUGUUAGAGUAUGCCAAGGUAACCCACCCUGUCCCAGGCCCAUGCUCUGGCUUGGAGCCCACUGGUGAUCUCACCCACGGUGUCCAGGUUGUUUUCCCUAAGACUGGUGCAGACAAAAACUAGCAAUGGUCUCAGACAGGAUGUGGGGAAACUGGUAAACAAAGGACCCAUCUACAGCCACUGGUUGAAACUCACCUAAAACUGACCUUUAAGGCUGACACCAAAGGGGCAGAGUAUGGCAGUUCAGACCUUCAUCAGUGACAGAGCUGGAUGGCUGUGGGUCUACACCAGCACAAUCCCUUCAUUGAGUUGAGGGCUCAGGGCUUCAGGGCUGUCCCCCACAAAUCCUCUCAAUCCUUGUCAGGAGCCGCCAAGAAUCGGUGUCUUCAGGAAGGAGCCGGUCCUGCCGAUCAUACAGGACGACAUGGUGCCUGCCAGCCAAGGUUCCCAUAGCACCUGCUGAUUGUCCUGGACUUCUCACUGGGCUUCUGGGAAGUCAGGCAGAGCCUCCGCCCUCCCAUGUUAGCGCAGCAUGCCUCACGCCUGCCGGCUGCAGAGUGGCUACCAUGUGGUUGCAGUGGGUGAUGGCAGAGAUUCCCUU